UUAGUGGAAAACGGCGUAAUUCCUACGAUCAAUUCACAAAAUUAGCGAACACCGCGCGAUAAGUCAGUUCGCACAAUAGGCGAACGUAUUGACAGCUAUUGAUAUCCGGGGCGAUAAUAUUAGCCAUUAGUCUCUCGAUGCUGGAAUUCGAAUGUAUACCUAUAUCUCUCGUAUCACGCUCGUUCAAUUCUUCGAUCGAUAAUUCACUUUUAUUUUGGCUCCUAUUAUAAUUCGCUCGCUAUAUUUUUAUGACGCGCGACUCUCGCCGGAUGUAAGUAACGGAAAAAUAUAUCAAUUCUUUAUUAAUUUAUUUCGGGAUUUUUACGUUCGAUGUAUGUACAUUGCGCGUGUGUGCAAUACCGAAUUUAGAUUAUACAUUUUCGAGCAGACCGGCGGCGCUUUAAUUAAUAAUUGGACGUCAUAUAGAAUCUCUCGUAUCGCACGUUAUAAGAUUGAGUCUAUUAAUGCUCGAGGCUCGGCAAUUAAAUUCGGGAGUGCCGUGCGAAUCGCGCGAUCGUCUUCCGAUCGUACUCCGCUAAUUAAUUCGUGCGCGAUUGUAAUUAACGCGCGUUUUCGCGAGUGUUGUAUUUGUGUGAAUGCGGCGAACCUGACAAUUCUGGCAACCUGAGAGGAGGAGGGAAAAGCCUGGGAGGCAUCGGGCGACGGCGGAAUAAUCAUGAGUUUCUGCUGUUGCGCAUCGAUCGGUGAUUAAUAUUGGGAAUGCCAUAUGAGCCAUAUCGCGCGAGCAUCAUAUUCAUCGGUAAUUAGUUCGCGAUACGUUCACACUAACACGUUUUGCUAGUGUUCGGCCGUGUGAAUGCAACCGAAAGGACCUUGAUAGAAGGCCUGGGAGGCCUUGGGCGACGACGGAACGAUCAUGAGGUUACAGCGGCCCAUUUCUCAUGCGUCUGGCCGAGCAUGGAGAGGAACGAACCCGAGCGAAUCGGUGAAUGAAAUGAGUUUCGGUCGCGCUAAGAUCAUUUUCUACGAGAUGUACCUGAUCCACGGGUUCCCUAUAUAUAACAAAUUUGCAUAUAAACCUCGAUAAUUCUUGUAAUGUAACCUGCUAAUUUUUCAUCAAUAAAAAUUGCUUUUUCAGUA